rnacentral:lncRNA from 1 species
GGAACACUGAGAACCUGAAUGGGAAAUUAAGAAGAACCAGAUUCUUUCUAUUCUUCCACCAGCCAAGUUUUGAAGAUUUGUUUUGAAUCUUGAAGAGAGAGCAGCAAGCCUUUUGGCCUAUGGAUUCCAAGAGUCACAUUCCAACAGGUGAUAUCAAAAGGACAAGGAAGCAGGGAGGGGUGACUUGCACGGAAGGUGCCCAGUGAGAUGUCUCUGCCAUGGAGAUUGUGCUGAUGCCACAAGCAAAGCAUUUGUACCCCUCUCAUCCACAAGAGAAGUCCCUCCGGGUAUUUCAGAUGAUACCUGAAAGGGUGAUAAGGCAGGGAAUCAGAGGCUGACACCGCUAUUGGAUGGACUGGGGGAGUGAAGAUCAAAAGGUCAUUUUCAGGAAAAAAAUAAAUUAGGAAGUACAGGGAUAAGACAGAAGCCACCACCAAUAACUCCACACCUACAGCUCCAAAGCAUGUGAUUCAGAAGGAUCCUUGUUGAUACUGGCCAUCACCUUGUGUCACAAUACCAGUGGCCGCAGAGAUUUAAAUAAAUGCAUCCCAGAUACAGAGUUAAAAGCAUGCCAACAAUGAGGGCUGUGUGGUUUGGAGAAGAGCAGAACACACUGCUUUCAGUCAGGCAGAGGCAGAUUAGAUUGCCUGCCACCUCCAGUGGGAUGCUGGCUCCGGACAGUCACUCACCUUCUCUAAAACCCACC